CUGAGUACGGCGGAACACGUGAAAUUCCGUCGGAAUCCGGGAGGACCAUCUCCCAAGGCUAAAUACUCCCUAGUGACCGAUAGUGAACCAGUACCGUGAGGGAAAGGUGAAAAGCACCCCGGAAGGGGAGUGAAACAGUUCCUGAAACCGUGUGCCUACAAGUAGUUAGAGCCCGUUAAUGGGUGAUAGCGUGCCUUUUGUAGAAUGAACCGGCGAGUUACGAUUUGUUGCAAGGUUAAGCGGAAAAAGCGGAGCCGUAGCGAAAGCGAGUCUGAAUAGGGCGCAUAAGUAACAGGUCGUAGACCCGAAACCAGGUGAUCUACCCAUGUCCAGGAUGAAGGUAAGGUAAUACUUACUGGAGGUCCGAACCCACGCACGUUGAAAAGUGCGGGGAUGAGGUGUGGGUAGCGGAGAAAUUCCAAUCGAACUUGGAGAUAGCUGGUUCUCUCCGAAAUAGCUUUAGGGCUAGCCUCGAGGUAAAGAGUCAUGGAGGUAGAGCACUGUUUGGACUAGGGGCCCUUCUCGGGUUACCGAAUUCAGAUAAACUCCGAAUGCCAUGUACUUAUACUCGGGAGUCAGACUGCGAGUGAUAAGAUCCGUAGUCGAAAGGGAAACAGCCCAGACCACCAG
rnacentral:rRNA from 1 species